GGUGCUGGGUGUAUAGGAAGAGGUAUUAGCAGCAGGUAAGGUCAGUAGGUGCUGGGUGUAUAGGAAGAGGUAUUAGCAGCAGGUAAGGUCAGUAGGUGCUGGGUGUAUAGGAAGAGGUAUUAGCAGCAGGUAAGGUCAGUAGGUGCUGGGUGUAUAGGAAGAGGUAUCAGCAGCAGGUAAGGUCAGUAGGUGCUGGGUGUAUAGGAAGAGUUAUUAGCAGUAGUUAAGGUCAGUAGGUACUGGGUGUAUAGGAAGAGGUAUUAGCAGCAGGUAAGGUCAGUAGGUUCUGGGUGUAUAGGAAGAGAUAUUAGCAGCAGGUAAGGUCAGUAGGUGCUGGGUGUAUAGGAAGAGGUAUCAGCAGCAGGUAAGGUCAGUAGGUGCUGGGUGUAUAGGAAGAGGUAUUAGCAGCAGGUAAGGUCAGUAGGUGCUGGGUGUAUAGGAAGAGGUAUUAGCAGCAGGUAAGGUCAGUAGGUGCUGGGUGUAUAGGAAGAGAUAUUAGCAGUAAGUAAGGUCAGUAGGUGCUGGGUGUAUAGGAAGAGUUAUUAGCAGCAGGUAAGGUCAGUAAGUGCUGGGUGUAUAGGAAGAGGUAUUAGCAGCAGGUAAGGUCAGUUGGUGCUGGGGGUAUAGGAAGAGAUAUUAGCAGCAGGUAAGGUCAGUAGGUGCUGGGUGUAUAGGAAGAGCUAUUAGCAGCAGGUAAGGUCAGUAGGUGCUGGGUGUAUAGGAAGAGGUAUUAGCAGCAGGUAAGGUCAGUAGGUGCUGGGUGUAUAGGAAGAGAUAUUAGCAGCAGGUAAGGUCAGUAGGUGCUGGGUGUAUAGGAAGAAGUAUUAGCAGCAGGUAAGGUCAGUAGGUGCUGGUGUAUAGGAAGAGAUAUUAGCAGCAGGUAAGGUCAGUAGGUGCUGGGGGUAUAGGAAGAGGUAUUAGCAGCAGGUAAGGUCAGUAGGUGCUGGGUGUAUAGGAAGAGAUAUUAGCUGUAGGUAAGGUCAGUAGGUGCUGGGUGUAUAGGAAGAGGUAUUAGCAGCAGGCAAGGUCAGUUGGUGCUGGGUGUAUAGGAAGAGGUAUUAGCAGCAGGUAAGGUCAGUAGGUGCUGGGUGUAUAGGAAGAGGUAUUAGCAGCAGGUAAGGUCAGUAGGUGCUGGGUGUAUAGGAAGAGGUAUUAGCAGCAGGUAAGGUCAGUAGGUGCUGGGUGUAUAGGAAGAGGUAUUAGCAGCAGGUAAGGUCAGUAGGUGCUGGGUGUAUAGGAAGAGGUAUCAGCAGGAGGUAAGGUCAGUAGGUGCUGGGUGUAUAGGAAGAGGUAUUAGCAGCAGGUAAGGUCAGUAGGUGCUUGGUGUAUAGGAAGAGGUAUUAGCAGCAGGUAAGGUCAGUAGGUGCUGGGUGUAUAGGAAGAGGUAUUAGCAGCAGGUAAGGUCAGUAGGGUGCUGGGUGUAUAGGAAGAGGUAUUAGCAGCAGGUAAGGUCAGUAAGUGCUUGGUGUAUAGGGAGAGGUAUUAGCAGCAGGUAAGGUCAGUAGGUGCUGGGUGUAUAGGAAGAGGUAUUAGCAGCAGGUAAGGUCAGUAAGUGCUGGGUGUAUAGGAAGAGGUAUUAGCAGCAGGUAAGGUCAGUAGGUGCUGGGUGUAUAGGAAGAGGUAUUAGCAGCAGGUAAGGUCAGUAAGUGCUGGGUGUAUAGGGAGAGGUAUUAGCAUCAGGUAAGAUCAGUAGGUGUUGGGUGUAUAGGAAGAGGUAUUAGCAGCAGGUAAGGUCAGUAGGUGCUGGGUGUAUAGGAAGAGGUAUUAGCAGCAGGUAAGGUCAGUAGGUGCUGGGUGUAUAGGAAGAGGUAUCAGCAGCAGGUAAGGUCAGUAGGUGCUGGGUGUAUAGGAAGAGUUAUUAGCAGUAGUUAAGGUCAGUAGGUACUGGGUGUAUAGGAAGAGGUAUUAGCAGCAGGUAAGGUCAGUAGGUUCUGGGUGUAUAGGAAGAGAUAUUAGCAGCAGGUAAGGUCAGUAGGUGCUGGGUGUAUAGGAAGAGGUAUCAGCAGCAGGUAAGGUCAGUAGGUGCUGGGUGUAUAGGAAGAGGUAUUAGCAGCAGGUAAGGUCAGUAGGUGCUGGGUGUAUAGGAAGAGGUAUUAGCAGCAGGUAAGGUCAGUAAGUGCUGGGUGUAUAGGAAGAGGUAUUAGCAGCAGGUAAGGUCAGUUGGUGCUGGGGGUAUAGGAAGAGAUAUUAGCAGCAGGUAAGGUCAGUAGGUGCUGGGUGUAUAGGAAGAGCUAUUAGCAGCAGGUAAGGUCAGUAGGUGCUGGGUGUAUAGGAAGAGGUAUUAGCAGCAGGUAAGGUCAGUAGGUGCUGGGUGUAUAGGAAGAGAUAUUAGCAGCAGGUAAGGUCAGUAGGUGCUGGGUGUAUAGGAAGAAGUAUUAGCAGCAGGUAAGGUCAGUAGGUGCUGGUGUAUAGGAAGAGAUAUUAGCAGCAGGUAAGGUCAGUAGGUGCUGGGGGUAUAGGAAGAGGUAUUAGCAGCAGGUAAGGUCAGUAGGUGCUGGGUGUAUAGGAAGAGAUAUUAGCUGUAGGUAAGGUCAGUAGGUGCUGGGUGUAUAGGAAGAGGUAUUAGCAGCAGGCAAGGUCAGUUGGUGCUGGGUGUAUAGGAAGAGGUAUUAGCAGCAGGUAAGGUCAGUAGGUGCUGGGUGUAUAGGAAGAGGUAUUAGCAGCAGGUAAGGUCAGUAGGUGCUGGGUGUAUAGGAAGAGGUAUUAGCAGCAGGUAAGGUCAGUAGGUACCGGGUGUAUAGGAAGAGGUAUUAGCAGUUGGUAUGGUCAGUAGGUGCUGGGUGUAUAGGAAGAGGUAUUAGCAGCAGGUAAGGUCAGUAGGUUCUGGGUGUAUAGGAAGAGGUAUUAGCAGCAGUUAAGGUCAGUAGGUGCUGGGUGUAUAGGAUGAGGUAUUAGCAGCAGAUAAGGUCAGUAGGUGCUGGGUGUAUAGGAAGAGGUAUUAGCAGCAGGUAAGGUCAGUAGGUGCUGGGUGUAUAGGAAGAGGUAUUAGCAGCAGGUACGGUCAGUAGGUGCUGGGUGUAUAGGAAGAGGUAUUAGCAGCAGGUAAGGUCAGUUAGAUGCUGGGUGUAUAGGAAGAGAUAUUAGCAGCAGGUAAGGUCAGUAAGUGCUGGGUGUAUAGGAAGAUGUAUUAGCAGCAGGUAAGGUCAGUAGGUGCUCGGUGUAUAGGAAGAGGUAUUAGCAGCAGGUAAGGUCAGUAGGUGCUGGGUGUAUAGGAAGAGGUAUUAGCAGCAGGUAAGGUCAGUAGGUGCUCGGUGUAUAGGAAGAGGUAUUAGCAGCAGGUAAGGUCAGUAGGUGCUGGGUAUAUAGGAAGAGGUAUUAGCAGUAGGUAAGGUCAGUAGGUGCUGGGUGUAUAGGAAGAGUUAUUAGCAACAGGUAAGGUCAGUAGGUUCUGGGUGUAUAGGAAGAGGUAUUAGCAGCAGGUAAGGUCAGUAGGUUCUGGGUGUAUAGGAAGAGGUAUUAGCAGCAGGUAAGGUCAGUAGGUGCUGUGUGUAUAGGAAGAGGUAUUAGCAGUAGGUAAGGUCAGUAGGUGCUGGGUGUAUAGGAAGAGGUAUUAGCAGUAGGUAAGGUCAGUAGGUGCUGGGUGUAUAGGAAGAGGUAUUAGCAGCAGGUAAGGUCAGUAGAUGCUGGGUGUAUAGGAAGAGAUAUUAGCAGCAGGUAAGGUCAGUAGGUGCUGGGUGUAUAGGAAGAGGUAUUAGCAGCAGGUAAGGUCAGUAGGUGCUGGGUGUAUAGGAAGAGGUAUUAGCAGCAGGUAAGGUCAGUAGGUGCUGGGUGUAUAGGAAGAGGUAUUAGCAGUAGGUAAGGUCAGUAGGUGCUGGGUGUAUAGGAAGAGGUAUUAGCAGCAGGUAAGGUCAGUAGGUGCUGGGUGUAUAAGAAGAGGUAUUAGCAGCAGGUAAGGUCAGUAGAUGCUGGGUGUAUAGGAAGAGGUAUUAGCAGCAGGUAAGGUCAGUAGGUGCUGGGUGUAUAGGAAGAGGUAUAAGCAGCAGGUAUGGUCAGUAGGAUGCUGGGUGUAUAGGAAGAGGUAUUAGCAGCAGGUAAGGUCAGUUGGUGCUGGGUGUAUGGGAAGAAGUAUUAGCAGCAGGUAAGGUCAGUAGGUGCUGUGUGUAUAGGAAGAGGUAUUAGCAGUAGGUAAGGUCAGUAGGUGCUGGGUGUAUAGGAAGAGGUAUUAGCAGUAGAUAAGGUCAGUAGAUGCUGGGUGUAUAGGAAGAGGUAUUAGCAGCAGGUAAGGUCAGUAGGUGCUGGGUGUAUAGGAAGAGGUAUUAGCAGCAGGUAAGGUCAGUAGGUGCUGGGUGUAUAGAAAGAGGUAUUAGCAGCAGGUAAGGUCUGUAGGUGCUGGGUGUAUAGAAACAGAUUUUAGCAUCAGGAACAGUGAGGUUCUUAGGUCACCUAUUUUAAUAAACCAUACACUGUACACAGGAGGCUACUAAACUUGUACAUGGUGUAAAAAAUACAAUGGACAUGAAAAUUCAUCAUGAACUUAUAUGUAAAGGUUAGAGAGGAGAAGGGAGAGAGAAGAUAUGAUAGAAACAUUCAUUUAUAUUGGAGGCUUUAACAAAGCUCAGGAUGAAAGCUUUUUUAGCAAGAGCAGAGGAACGUUACACUCCAGUUCAAUAUUUACAUCCAGUUUGUCACCCUCCUUGCUUCAUUUCUUAGCGCCAAAGUGUAGGCACAUAUAUUGUUGUUAUUAUUGGUGCCGUUUUCAUGAACUUUGCCUGCGAACAUUUCUCACGAAUACAUCUUGCCAACCUGGAUUUGGUAGUACCUGGAAAACACCGGGAGGGACACGACAACUUUGACAACUUCGUGACACAGAAGGAUGCCGAUAUGAGACGAUAAGUCUAUGGUGUUUAUGUUACACAUAUGCUGAUUUUAUGCUUUUUAUCUUGUGAGUGGCCAUUUGUCGUGUGUAUUAUAAUUAAAUUGUUUAUACUCUG